rnacentral:rRNA from 1 species
AUUGCACGUGCACGCUUACUAGUACCUGCGCCAUCUGUCGUUCCUAUGUUAGACAAUCUUAGAGUAAUUUUUUGGAAUGUGCGUGGUCUAAACAGCCGGGCCGAGCACUCUGCUGUCCGCACGGUGAUCUCUGACGCCUCCCCUUGUAUUGUUUGCCUCCAAGAAAUGAAACUCUCUUCUGUCUCGUCGGCGAUUGUUCUUGAGACUCUUGGUGGCCUCUUUGAUGGUUUCUUCUGGCUUCCGACUGAUGGUACACGUGGAGGGAUCAUCUUAGCCUAG